UGUUUCGGCUAGGGGGCCAUCCCGGCUUACCAACCCGAUGCAAACUGCGAAUACCGGAGAAUGUUAUCACGGGAGACACACGGCGGGUGCUAACGUCCGUCGUGAAGAGGGAAACAACCCAGACCGCCAGCUAAGGUCCCAAAGUCAUGGUUAAGUGGGAAACGAUGUGGGAAGGCCCAGACAGCCAGGAUGUUGGCUUAGAAGCAGCCAUCAUUUAAAGAAAGCGUAAUAGCUCACUGGUCGAGUCGGCCUGCGCGGAAGAUGUAACGGGGCUAAACCAUGCACCGAAGCUGCGGCAGCGACACUAUGUGUUGUUGGGUAGGGGAGCG
rnacentral:rRNA from 1 species